rnacentral:lncRNA from 1 species
AUCCUGCUCUGGCUCCCACCUCCGUUCAGGCGGAGCCACUCGGCGCCUGAAGCGAAGGGCCUCCGGUGCCUACGUGCAGUCGCCUCCUCCGCUUGAGCCUACGCCUUCUGCUCCAGUUGCUUUCCCAACCGAGCAGAAAAGCCGGGGGCGUGUUGCCGGGGCACUGGGAAGCCGGGAGCUUGGGCACUGCGCCUGAAGUCGCUGCUGCGCCUCCCCGCCCACGGGCGGUCGGGUCACGGUCCCUGAAGCCCCAGCCUGCCAGAUUGGAGCCCAUACUGACGUCAAGGGUAAAGGGGACCAGAGGCACCUGAGUCACCCAACCAGAAACCCAGCCUCUAGUGGGUGUUUCAUUGUGACACUGUGCGGCCUGAGGGGGAAGUACCCUCUCCUUUGAUUACCGUUGUGAAUCUAUGAAUAAACAGUUACACCCUGAGGGGUGCUAAGCUUUGGGAGUUACAGGGCUUGAGGUCAGCUCUAGAAGUCUUGAAAGUGGAGUUGUUGCAGGACACUGGGUUCCUUAGGAGCCGCCCCAGGCUUAAUGAUUGUCCAGAAGUUGGCUAUAAAGGGAGCCUGGGAGGCUGAUUGGAGGAGGGAGCAGAAAAAGCCUAACUCAGCAGGUCUGGGCACCGAGAGCCGAAAGCAGGAGCUGUGGUCAGAAGCUCGUGUCCCAGCCGGUAGGGCCUGCUCUCUCCCACCAUGGCGGCCCGAGGCUACGGCUAUUAUCGUGCUGUGAUCUUCUCAGCCAUGUUUGGAGGCUACAGCCUGUACUACUUCAACCGCAAGACCUUCUCCUUUGUCAUGCCGUCGCUGGUGGAAGAGAUCCGUCUGGACAAGGAUGACUUGGGGCUCAUCACCAGUAGCCAGUCAGCAGCCUAUGCCAUCAGCAAGUUUGUGAGUGGGGUGCUGUCUGACCAGAUGAGUGCUCGCUGGCUCUUCUCCUCUGGGCUGCUUCUUGUUGGCCUGGUCAAUGUCAUCUUUUCCUGGAGCUCCACAGUACCUGUCUUCGCUGCUCUCUGGUUCCUCAAUGGCCUGGCCCAGGGGCUGGGCUGGCCCCCGUGUGGCAAGAUCUUGCGGAAGUGGUUUGAGCCAUCUCAGUUUGGCACUUGGUGGGCCAUCCUAUCAACUAGCAUGAACCUGGCUGGAGGGCUGGGCCCCAUCCUGGCAACCAUCCUCGCCCAGAGCUAUAGCUGGCGUAGCACGCUGGCCCUGUCUGGGGCCUUGUGUGUGGUUGUCUCCUUCCUCUGUCUCCUGCUCAUCCACAAUGAACCUGCUGAUGUUGGACUCCGCAACCUGGACCCUAUCCCCUCCAAGGGCAAGAAGGGCUCCUCAAAGGAGGAGAGUACCUUACAGGAGCUGCUGCUGACCCCCUACCUGUGGGUGCUCUCCAUUGGCUACCUUGUGGUAUUUGGCGUAAAGACGUGCUGUACUGACUGGGGCCAGUUCUUCCUUAUCCAGGAGAAAGGACAGUCAGCCCUCGUGGGUAGCUCCUACAUGAGUGCCCUGGAGGUUGGGGGCCUUGUAGGCAGCAUCGCAGCUGGCUACUUGUCAGACCGGGCCAUGGCAAAGGUGAGUGAGCAAAAGGGACAGGAAGGAGGAGGAUUUCCCUUUUCACUUCUAUUUGUAUCUCAGUUCUCCUGCUCUGAUGCUGCUUUCUGGACUCCAGCUCUGCACCCUCUUGCUGAGCUCACAGGCUUUACGGAGCACGAGCUCUGGAUCCUGGUGUUGGGAGCUGUGUUUGGUUUCUCCUCUUAUGGUCCCAUUGCCUUGUUUGGAGUCAUAGCCAAUGAGAGUGCCCCUCCCAACCUGUGUGGCACCUCCCAUGCCAUUGUGGGACUCAUGGCCAAUGUGGGUGGCUUUCUGGCUGGGUUGCCCUUCAGCACCAUUGCCAAGCAUUACAGCUGGAGCACAGCCUUCUGGGUGGCUGAAGUGAUCUGUGCGGCCAGUACAGGUGCCUUCUUCCUCCUACGAAACAUCCGCACCAAGAUGGGCCGAGUGCCAAAGAAGGCUGAGUGAAGACCGUGCAAACUCUGGAGCGUCCUUUCUCACCUGUGUCAUGGGGGUUGGGAAAGGGAGGGAGGGGGCUGCUCUGGCAGCACCACCUUUGACUUUCUUUUUCUGCACCUUUUCCCUCACCCAGGUGGUGCUGGAAGUUAUCAGUGGCUAAUGAGGUCCCAGCUCCCCAUCCUAUCUCUAUUUAAAAAACAAGUUUUGGGAGUUCUCACUGUAGCACAGUGGGUUAGGAAUCCAAUUGCAGUGGCUUGGGUUGCUGCAGAGGUGUAGGUUCAACCCCUGGCCCAGCAUAGCAGGUUAAAGGACCCAGCAUUGCUACAGCUGCAGUUCGGAUUAGAUUCUUGACCCAGGAACUUCCAUAUGCCUCAGGUGCAGCCAUAAAAAUUAAAAAAAAAAAAAAGAGAGAGAGAGAGAGAGAGAGAAAACCUUUGUUUCUGGACUCCGUUAGUUCUUGCCUUCAAACUGGAAACCCCAGCACUCAGGGAGUCUCCUAUACCCUUCUCCCUCUCCUGGGCUCCGUCCUGUCCCCAUCACACACCAUCCCCACCUGAGGUGACGCUCCUGUAGCAGGACAGCAGUAGCCCGGGACUGCCCUGAGACCUCUCAGCAGGGGGCAGUUGCUAUUGCCAAUACCUUGGACUCCAGUGGAAGAGGGGAGGCCGUCACUCUUACCGAUACCUUGGGUACAGUAGGGGGUAAGGGUGGGAGGGUACAGAGACUUGUUAUAGAAAAUUAAAACUAGAUUUGAUAC